rnacentral:rRNA from 1 species
GGUACACGAGCGGCGAACGGGUGAGUAACACGUGAGUAAUCUGCCCUUCACUUCGGGAUAACCACCGGAAACGGUGGCUAAUACCGGAUACGACCAGUCCUUGCAUGAGGUGCUGGUGGAAAGUCUUUUCGGUGGAGGAUGUGCUCGCGGCCUAUCAGCUUGUUGGUGGGGUAAUGGCCUACCAAGGCUUCGACGGGUAGCCGGCCUGAGAGGGUGACCGGCCACACUGGGACUGAGACACGGCCCAGACUCCUACGGGAGGCAGCAGUGGGGAAUAUUGGACAAUGGGCGAAAGCCUGAUCCAGCAACGCCGCGUGAGGGAUGACGGCCUUCGGGUUGUAAACCUCUUUCAGUAUCGACGAAGCGCCCUGUCGGGUGGUGACGGUAGAUACAGAAGAAGGACCGGCCAACUACGUGCCAGCAGCCGCGGUAAUACGUAGGGUCCGAGCGUUGUCCGGAAUUAUUGGGCGUAAAGGGCUCGUAGGCGGUUUGUCACGUCGGGAGUGAAAUCUUACAGCUUAACUGUGAACUUGCUUUCGAUACGGGCAGACUUGAGGCAUUCAGGGGAGAACGGAAUUCCUGGUGUAGCGGUGAAAUGCGCAGAUAUCAGGAGGACACCGGUGGCGAAGGCGGUUCUCUGGGAAUGUUCUGACGCU